AAUCAACGCUGGCGGCGUGCCUCAGACAUGCAAGUCGAACGAUUAAAGCUCCCUUCGGGGAGUGCAUAAAGUGGCGCACGGGUGAGUAACACGUAAGUAAUCUACCCUCGGGCGGGGAAUAACAACCGGAAACGGUUGCUAAUACCGCAUAAUGCAGCGGCACCGCAAGGUGACAGUUGUUAAAGGAGCAAUCCACCUGAGGAGGAGCUUGCGGCAGAUUAGCUUGUUGGUAAGGUAACGGCUCACCAAGGCUACGAUCUGUAUCCGGUCUAAGAGGACGGUCGGACACACUGACACUGAAUAGCGGGUCAGACUCCUACGGGAGGCAGCAGUCGGGAAUUUUGGGCAAUGGGGGAAACCCUGACCCAGCAACGCCGCGUGAAGGAUGAAGUAUUUCGGUAUGUAAACUUCGAAAGAAUAGGAAGAAUUAAUGACGGUACUAUUUAUAAGGUCCGGCUAACUACGUGCCAGCCGCCGCGGUAAAAC
rnacentral:rRNA from 1 species